rfam:Schistosoma mattheei strain Denwood, Zambia genome assembly, scaffold: SMTD_scaffold0001254
AGCUUUCCGAUAAGUGCUGAGAUUUCGUCAGACACCAACCCAUUAGGGCUGAUCAGACUUCCAAGAUAAGUGAAGUU